rnacentral:rRNA from 1 species
AUUGAACGCUGGCGGCAUGCCUUACACAUGCAAGUCGAACGGUAACAGGUCUUCGGAUGCUGACGAGUGGCGAACGGGUGAGUAAUACAUCGGAACGUGCCCGAUCGUGGGGGAUAACGAGGCGAAAGCUUUGCUAAUACCGCAUACGAUCUACGGAUGAAAGCGGGGGAUCUUCGGACCUCGCGCGGACGGAGCGGCCGAUGGCAGAUUAGGUAGUUGGUGGGAUAAAAGCUUACCAAGCCGACGAUCUGUAGCUGGUCUGAGAGGAUGAUCAGCGACACUGGAACUGAGACACGGCCCAGACUCCUACGGGAGGCAGCAGUGGGGAAUUUUGGACAAUGGGCGAAAGCCUGAUCCAGCCAUGCCGCGUGCAGGAUGAAGGCCUUCGGGUUGUAAACUGCUUUUGUACGGAACGAAAAGCCUCUUUCUAAUAAAGAGGGGUCAUGACGGUACCGUAAGAAUAAGCACCGGCUAACUACGUGCCAGCAGCCGCCGUAACAC